GAUGAACGCUGGCGGCGUGCUUAACACAUGCAAGUCGAACGGGAAUUACUUUAUUGAAACUUCGGUCGAUUUAAUUUAAUUCUAGUGGCGGACGGGUGAGUAACGCGUGGGUAACCUGCCUUAUACAGGGGGAUAACAGUCAGGAAUGGCUGCUAAUACCGCAUAAGCGCACAGAGCUGCCUGGCCCAGUGUGAAAAACUCCGGUGGUAUAAGAUGGACCCGCGUUGGAUUAGCUUGUUGGCGGGGUAACGGCCCCCCAAGGCGACGAUCCAUAGCCGGCCUGAGAGGGUGAACGGCCACGUUGGGACUGAGACACGGCCCAGACUCCUACGGGAGGCAGCAGUGGGGAAUAUUGCACAAUGGGGGAAACCCUGAUGCAGCGACGCCGCGUGAAGGAAGAAGUAUCUCGGUAUGUAAACUUCUAUCAGCAGGGAAGAUAGUGACGGUACCUGACUAAGAAGCCCCGGCUAACUACGUGCCAGCAGCCGCCGUAA
rnacentral:rRNA from 1 species